AACGAACGCUGGCGGCAUGCCUAACACAUGCAAGUCGAACGAGACCUUCGGGUCUAGUGGCGCACGGGUGCGUAACGCGUGGGAACCUGCCCUUAGGUUCGGAAUAACUCCCCGAAAGGGGUGCUAAUACCGGAUAAUGUCUUCGGACCAAAGAUUUAUCGACUUUGGAUGGGCCCGCGUUGGAUUAGCUAGUUGGUAGGGUAAAAGCCUACCAAGGCGACGAUCCAUAGCUGGUCUGAGAGGAUGAUCAGCCACACUGGGACUGAGACACGGCCCAGGCUCCUACGGGAGGCAGCAGUGGGGAAUAUUGGACAAUGGGCGAAAGCCUGAUCCAGCAAUGCCGCGUGAGUGAUGAAGGCCUUAGGGUUGUAAAGCUCUUUUACCCGGGAUGAUAAUGACAGUACCGGGAGAAUAAGCUCCGGCUAACUCCGUG
rnacentral:rRNA from 1 species